rnacentral:lncRNA from 1 species
AUGUCUGCUUCCAAGUUAGGGCCUCUCUUCAGAUGCAUUUAUCAUUCACUGCCAUUGUCUUUCGCCAUUAUUUUUCUAGUCCCUUCACUCACUGAUAAGUCAUAAUCUCAAAUGUGAAGGAGUAGAAAAUUAACUUCACUUUGAUAUCACCUAGAAUGUUUCUUCCUACUGAGCACAUAUAGGCAACCCUUACCCUACUGCAGACCUUGUUUUCAUGAAGCUGGGAAAGACAUCAGAAAUCAGCCUUACCAUCUUGGCGGCCCUUCUUUUGAGGACACUCACAAUGAACAGAGACGCGGAAUAGGAGGAAUGUCACCCAAUCCUGUUCUUUUCCCUCCGGAAUGAGAAAAUCCACCCUGGGUCCAGACGAGUACCUCCUCAUCUGCUGCCUUCCACCAAGAAAUCCAAGGAGAUCUCCAGAAAUGUUGACUCCCUGGAGCCUGUUUGAAGAUGAAAUGCAAGGACCUCUCCGCCGAAGAGGAGGUGAAACUGAACGCUUGGCACUGGAGAAUUGCUACGGAACACUCUAAGCUACAUCUGUCUUAAAAGGGUGAAACCCAAACCAGAAUUAGGAUUUAC